AGUCCGUGAUGAGGGCAUCUUCUCAAAAGAUCCUUGUAUCUCUCCCAGGCAUCGUAGAGUGUUUCUAAAUCCAUCUGCACAAAGGACGAAAUAUCGUUUCGUAAUU
rfam:Gossypium arboreum cultivar AKA8401 contig_24063_1, whole genome shotgun sequence.